rnacentral:rRNA from 1 species
UACGGAGGGGGCUAGCGUUGUUCGGAAUUACUGGGCGGAAAGCGCACGUAGGCGGACUGUUAAGUCGGGGGUGAAAUCCUGGGGCUCAACCUCAGAAUUGCCUCCGAUACUGGCAGUCUCGAGUGCGGGAGAGGUGAGUGGAAUUCCCAGUGUAGAGGUGAAAUUCGUAGAUAUUGGGAAGAACACCAGUGGCGAAGGCGGCUCACUGGCCCGUAACUGACGCUGAGGUGCGAAAGCGUGGGGAGCAAACAGG